CUCAUCCAGAGGGGCAGAGGGACCGGCCCGGUGAAGCCCCGGCAACCAUUCACGACGUCACGCAUACCGUCUUAUCGGUGCGGAAUUGACGUGCGAGGAGAGGUGCCAACUCCGACUCGGACCGCAAAGUGCGGCGACCGAGACAGAUGAG
rnacentral:ncRNA from 1 species